AUGAGUUGCUUCAAACUAACUAAGAAGGUGUGCAAAGGCCUUGUUUCCUCUUUGGCAAAAUACUGGUGGAGUAGCAGCCUGGACCGCAAUUCUAUGCACUGGAAGGCUUGGGAUGCUAUGACAAUGCCGAAGGGAAAGGGAUGUAUGGGAUUCCGGGAUCUUGAGCUGUUCAACAUAGCUCUCCUUCGCAAACACGGAUGGCAAUUGAUGACAAAUCCGAGCUCUCUCUGCGCCAAAGUUCUUAAGGGUAGAUAUUUCCCUAAUUGUGAUUUUAUGCAAGCCACGACCCCACGCUUUUCGUCGGCAAUGUGGCGGGCAAUCAUAGCUGGGAGGGAUGCUUUGCAAGUUGGGCUCAUCAAGCGCAUAGGAGAUGGCAGGGCGGUGUCCAUUUGGCAGGACAAGUGGAUCCCC
rnacentral:rRNA from 1 species